rnacentral:lncRNA from 1 species
CUCAGUUUCCCCACCCUUCAAGGUAGAAGAUGAGGAUCACAUGAGGUCAUGAAUAUGGGAGCACUUUGGACAUUGCAAGCUGCUGUCUGUGGCCGAAGGGUUAUCAGUGUAGUGAUGCAGAAAGCACCAAAGGGCCCCUUAUCUGUGAGGACCACCCUGUGGGCCCCCUACCCCCCACAGGAUCUUGCUCUGAGUCAGGGUGCUGAGUCUCCCCAGGCCUCCCUGACGUCUUUCCUGCUUGGAGGAGCAGAAGCAUUGGAGGCACUGUAACCAGCAGCUGUGAGGAAAGUGCUGCUGGCCCCUGUUUAGCAGAGGAAGCAACUGAGGCACAUUAAGAUGCAGACAGAAGAAACAAUGUCACUUCCGUGGUGCUCCUGCCGAAGAUGCAUAACCUGAAUCUAAUCCUCAGACAAAACCCAGUGAAGGGACAUCCUACAAAAUAAUAGCCAGUCAUCUUCAACCUUGUCAAGGUCAUGAAAGUCUGAAGGAUUGUUCCAGGCUGCUGGGGAUCAAGGAUCCACGACAACUAAAUGCCAAUGUGAUUCUCCCCCAGGGCCGAGUGUCAGAUGGUGUCUGCAGAUUCUGUGGUGGGACACGCGAGUGUUAGUGUCCUGGCGGAGACGGCUGUACUGUGGUUUAUAGGAGAUUGUGCACGUUUGUUGGAAAUAACAUGCAAGUGUUCAGGUGAAAUGGGGUGUCAUAUCAGUAACUUACUCUCAAAUAGUUUAGGGAAAAAAACUUUACGUGCUGCACUUGUGGCUUUUCUAUAAACUUGAGAUUGUUUCAACGUUUAAAAUCUACAUAGUAUAAAAAUGAAUCGACUUAUUACAGGAAAAAAAUGCAGACAGUAAUCCUCUGUCUUCAGGUUGGAAUGGUGGUGAGAUGAACUCUGUAAUCGUGAUACCAUUUUAUUGAGCUCUGACUGAGGGCUUUCCUUAGGUCACCCCAUUUACUCAUCAUAUGCUUCGUCUGUGAAGUUGGUAUCUUCACCCCCAUUUUUCAGAUGGAGAAACUGAGACUCAGAGGGUUGAAGUGACUUGGCCAACGUGGCUGAAUUUGCAGCCCUCCGACUCUGCACCUCACUGUGCUGCCUUCCCUUGAGCUGCCUCAGCCCAGUGCCCGCCCCAGGGCCAACACCGCCCUUCUCUUCUCGUCUCCACCAGUCAAAAUCUUCCUACUCAUCCACACCCAGCUUUAGUGCCAUUUCCCCAGGAUGUCUUCUCUGAUUCCCCCUACUGGAUACAACUGUCCAUCCUCUGAGAUCAGUCCUUCUCAUGGUCAAUCAUUCAUUCAUUAAAAAAAUAUCUGUUCAGAGCCUUCCACAUGGCGAGCAUCGUGCCAGGGGCUGGAGAUGUGCUGAUGUAUAAAACAGACACUGUCUCUGUCCCUGUGGAAACGGCGACUAAAAGCGUCAGUCAACAAACAAAUACACAUAGAAUCCCAAAUGUGAUCGAAGCCACCAAGGAAAGAACAGGUGCUUUGACAGCGGGGUGGUGAGAAAGCCUCUGGGGAGGACAGCGUCAGGGGCACAAAGGAGCCAAGUGGUGGAAGAGCGGAGCCAGGAGCUGGAGGAAAACCAGUACACCAGAGGACGGAGGUGCUGGGGCUGAGGUCCUGGCUAGCAGCAGGCAGGGCCAGAUCGCACAGAGGCUGUUUUUAAGGAAGCUGAUCUUUACUCAACUGCAGAGGAAGCCCCCAGAGGGUUGUGAGCAGGAGAGACCUGAUGAGAUUUACAUUUUUAAAGAUCACCCUGGUGCUGCUGUGGACGAUCAGAGGGCACAAGAGUAGAAGCAGAUGGGUCCUUAUCUCUCCCUUGCUGUUUUCUGGUGAGUCCAGGUCUUAUCUUGCUUUCUAGAGAGCUCCUUGAGGCCAGGGAUGGCGUCUGUCUCAGAGGUCGCCCAGCCCAGGCUGUUUGUCCCAGGCCUGACCGGGGGGCUCUGUCUCCUGGCCUAUGCUCUGUCCCUGAGGACAAUCUGGGACACACUCUGCUCUCAGCUCGCUGGUGCUCUGCGGCCCCAGCACGGGUGGAAUGUCUGACAGAGGAGCACACGCACGUGUUCUCCAAACAGACCUUGAUUCAUGUUUCCAGGAGAAGCUCGCAAACAGACUCCUGCCGGCCGCAUCCAUCAGGGGAGAGAUGGGCUCUGUAAACAAAGGUCCACAGGCUGUCUCCAUCUUCCACACAGACACCCAUCCCUGCCGGCCACUGGCAGCCCCUGGCCCCGCCCUGGCCAUGCUCUAUGCCAAGCCCCUAUCCAGAGCCUCAAAGACACACUGCCCCUUACCGCCCCGUCUCGCAGCUGAGAAAACAGAGACUGAGAGAUGUUAAGUCCCUUGCCCAAGGUCACAUAGUCGACCCAGCUACUACACGCGCUAUACUGUAUUCUACUCUGCCACUAAUGAGAAUAGUAGUAACUCACAUUCGCCGAGGGGCACUUGUGAUGUGCUGAGCACUGUUCUAAGGGCUGUACGUAGAUUAACUCGUUUCAUCCGCACCAUCACCCUGUGCAGUCAGGGCUCUUACUUUCCCAUUUUUCUUAAGGGGAAACCAAGGCCCAGAGAGGGAGGUCAAGUGAUUGCCCCAAGUCACUCUGAGAGUGAUUAGGGGAGGGGGGACUGGAGCCGGGCAGGGAGAGCCCAGUGCCCACGGGCUGCUCUCUGGUACUGCUCCCCCGGCCUCCUGGGAGCUAAGAGCAGGCCCAUUCUUCUCCCUCACCUUUCUCUCUGUUUGAGAAUUUGAAAAAACCGAGGCCCAAAGGAGGGAAGUAACUGGGUCCCAGCCGCCCGGCUUCCACGGCAGAGUGGGGCCUGGAGCACGGGACCUGUGGGCUUUCCUUUUCAGAGGCCAGGAUAGGAGCCAGGGGUAUGGUUCUACUCCCAGCAAUGCUGCUGCCUUGCUGUGUGACCUGCAACAAGUCACAUCCCCUCUCUGAGCCUCAGUUUCCCCAUCUGCUCAAUGGGAAUGACAAUGCCAGCCCUUACCCACGUUAUAAGCCCUGCUGUAAAACCGAGUGUGUGAAGGGGUUGUGGAACAGAACAGGAUGAGUUUCGCAGCCUGGAUUCCUGUCCCGUGAAUGGAAUGUCCAAGCAGCCCCAGGGGUGGGGCUGGGCUGGGCCUCCUCCAUAGUGAGACCCCCCACCUUGGGCUCCAGCCCAAAUUGCCAGACACAGGCCUGAGAGGAGGGCCUCCCCUCCAGGCGGGGGUGACCAGGAGCCAGUCGGCUGGCCAUUUGUCCACAGAUGGGUGUGCAGAUAAGAGGCGUCUGGAGAUAAGGCAGGGCCUGCUUGCAGCCUAGUGGCGAGCCAGGCCAAGCCCCUGCGGGGAGGUGGGGCGGAGAGAUGGGGAGCUCAGGGCGCCUUGGGCAGAGAGGGCUGGACCCCCGCCCCAAGGCCUGGGACAGAACUCUUUCUGCUGCUCCAUGGCACAGGCCUAGUGCCCUCCCCGCUUCCGGACCUGCCCCCACCUCCGACAAAAUAAGACAGAAUAAAGCAAACAAAUAAACAAACAAAAACAUAUACUUUUAUCAGAAGUGCUGCUUAAGCUAGACAAAGCCACCAGCUAACACCGGGUCCAAGUCUAGCCCUGCCACUGACUUCCUGGGCAGCAUGAAGUCACUGCCCGACUCUGAAUCUCAGUUUCUUCAUCUGGGCAGUGGGCACAGGCCUGUCUUUCCCUCCUUCCUCACAAAUACCAAGGAAUCCAAAUAAUAAGAAACAGCUAACACUGUGCUCGUCCUGGGAAGUGGGUACUGUUGUGAUCUCCACUUUACAGAUCCAUAAACUGAGGUAUGGAGGGUAGGUCACACAGCUGGUAAGUGGGGAGGCCAGGAUUCAAAUCCAGGCCAUGGGAUUCCAGAGGUGGGCUCUUAGCUGCUCGAAAUGUCACCGCCAAUGUUAUUAAAGGAACAAAGCAAACUGCAAUUAGAGCCCAUCUCAGUUUAAAAAUUACACACACUUAUGUUUGUAUAUUCAUAGACAUUUUUGGAAAAAUACACUUGCGAAUGUUAACAGCAUUGAUAUCUAGAACAGGGUUUCUCGACCUUGGCACUAUUGACAUCACAGGCUGGAUCAUUCUUUGUUGUGGCCUGUCCUGUGCACCGCAGGACGUUGAGCAGCACCCCUGGCCUCUGUUCGUUAGAUGCCAGUAGUAGCAUGGCCUCCCCACCCCCAGGCUGUGACAACCAAAAAUGUCUCCAGACAUCCCCAAAUGUCCCUGGGAGGCACCCACCCCCUCCCCCAUUGAGAUCCACUGAUAGAGGAUGUGACUAAGAGGGAUGUUUGCCUUCUAAGCCCUACCCUGAUAAUUUUGCCACGUGCAAGCAUGACACAUUGAAAUGAGAAGAAACACCAGUGAAGAUGAAAGAAUAAAGAGAGGUCAUUGGAUGGUGGGUGGGUGAGUAGAAGGAUAAAUGAACGUUGACCAAAGGAGGCAGAUGGAAAUCAGAGCCUCGGUACACUGGGGGAGCAUUUCGAGACCAUCCAGUCAACUCCUGCAUUUUCCAGAGAGGAAAAGGAGGACCAUAGAGGCAAGGGGCUUGUCUGAAUCCACAGAACAGGCUGGCACAGGGUGACAUGAAAGCUUGAGUGUGUUGACUCCUGGUCCAGUGCUCUGAACCCCAGAAUGUGAAAAGGCAAACGAGAGAACGGCUGCUCCGAGAAAACCUCCCUGCUUUGGCAGCUGGAGGGUCCUGGGGCUUGAGGGCAGAGCUGCCCCCCAGCCUGAUGUCUUCAGAUAAUGGCUGGAACGUUCUGGAGGCAAGUGACUCCACAGGUGACCUGGUCCCCUCGGUGUGGAGGGCAGACACCUGCACACACGGCAGUCCGCGCCGAGGGCCAGAUGAAGGGGAGAGUCUGUUCCCCCGCUCAGUGUGGUGCAGUGUGAAUGGAAGGCCGAUACAGACUGAGACAGGUCGGGGGGCCCAGAGCGCCAAGCGAAGGAGGUAGCGGGGAGCCUUAGGGCUGCUGAGAGCAGGACCACUCAGGGGACGAGCUGUGGCUACGGCUUUGAGGAGAACCUCUCCCAGAGAUGGCCAUAGUGAGGGCAACGACAGGUCUCCUUCUUGAACACUUAUAUGUGCCCGAGGUUCCACAGAGUGUCCCAGGGUGGAGGCGGGAUUCCAACCUGUGUCCCUCUGGCUCCGAAGCCUGUGCUCUAACCUUGCUCUCUACCUCAGUGGAGCACUGCCCAGCCAUCAGGACGAAGGCGGCAGCCACAUGACUCACGACAACCAAGAGGUGCAAACAAGCCGAGUGUCCAACGACAGCGGAAUGGAUAGCAAAGUGUGGUCCAUCCAUGCAAUGGAAUAUUAUUCAGCCUCAAAGAGGAAGGAAAUUCUGCCAUAUCCUACAACAUGGAUGAACCCGGAGGACACUAUGCUGAGUGAAAUAAGCCAGUCACAAAAUGACAGAUCCUGCAUGAUUCCAUUUAUAUGAGGCUCCUGGAGUCAUCAGAUCCAUAGACACAGAAAGCAGAGUGGUGGAUGCCUGGGGCUGGGGGUGGGGGGUGGGGAAUGGGAAUUAUUGCUUAAUGGGCACCAAGUCUCAGUUUUGCAAGAUGGAGAGAGUUCUGGAGAUGGGCUGCACAACAAUGUGAAUGUACUUAAAUCACUAGUGAACUGUACUCUUAAAAAUGGUUAAGAUGGUAAAUUUUGUGCUAUGUGUAUUUUACGACAAUUGAAAAAAAGGAUGAGGCAGAAGGUGGGAGAAAUAGGGCUCCCUCGGGGAAACAAACCCCCUGCGAUUUCUGGAAUAGGGAUUUGUUGUGGGAAUCACACCCUCAAACCAUUGGGGGAGUGGGAUUCAGGAGGGGGCUGGAGGAGAAGAGGGGCCCAGGGGAUCUGAGGAACCAGGGAAGGGGCUGCCCAGUGGGGAGCUGUGCCUCGGUGGCCGUGUCUCUACUGUCCGCCCUCCCUGGUGGGUCCCACCCCUGUCAGUCUGCUGGGCCAUUGGCCGGGAAAAGGAGCGGGACGUGGAGAGAAGAGAGUGAGGAAAGGCAGCCGUCAUCUCUGCGUCUGCCCAGCAGGGCGUCUGCCCACCACAAUCUGGAGCGGUUCAACCUCGAGAGAGGGACGCCGCUGCUCACUUCCGCCUUCGGAAUCUCCAUGAAUUCCUCUUCCCGCCAACUCUAAUGAAAAACCCUGCGUGAAGGGCAUUUGGGGAGACAGUUCUCACCUUAACCAAGAUCACCGAGAACAAAUCGCCACCUGGGGUAAUGGUGGAACAAUCUCCGAGAUGCACGGUUAACUGAAAAAGAUGGAGGAAAAUAUGGAUGGUAGGCAGGUUUUCUUUCCAAAUUGUGGUAAAAUACGCAACAUAAAAUUUACCGCUGUAACCGUUUUUAAGUGUACAAUUCAGUGGCAUGAAGGGUGUUCAUACUGUUGUGCAACCAUCACCAAUAUCCUUCUCCAGAACUUUCUCCUCAUCCCAAACCGAAACUCUCUGCACAUUGUUUUCUAAGGAUAUCACUCACACACACACACAUACACACACACACACACACACACGCUCUCCUCUCUACCUCUGCGUGCACACAGUAUCUCUGGAAAGAUACGCAAGAACCGAGAGACUAGCAGUGGUGUCUCUGGAGAGGGAGACGGGCAGGCAGGGGUGGGACGGAGAUUACUGUGGGAGACUUACUUUUCACUUUUUAUUCUUUUGUACCCUUUGAACAUGUCUUUUUCUUAAUUUUUUCCCCCCAGAAGCUGUCCUCAUCCCCUAAUUCAGAUUGAGUUUAGAAAGAAAUCACCCUCUCCUUUUUGAAACAUCAGAAUGCUGUGGUUGUCCACCCACCCGGGAGCACACAACUUCCGGCACAGUUGGGUGUGGAAUAAAGAUGGCUGGACCGUGUCACUCACUGCGUGGCCUUAGGCCUGCCCCUUCCCCUCUCGGGGCCUCGGUGUGCCCAUAUGUACAAGGAAAGACUUGGAAGAGAUGGCGCCUCAGAGUCUAUGAUGCUCGGGGAUGUCUGGAUUCUAAUCAGGUUCAAAAUUCUCCCUGGAGGCUGGUCUGUGCAGUGGAGGAGGAAGCAGAGAUGCAGGGAGAUAGGGGGACUGGCCCACAGCUACCUGAAGAGACAGCACUGGGGAUGGGAGCAGAAACGGGAGUGUUCCUGGUCAACUGCUGCUCGGAGAUACCCAUGAGCUGGCCCCAAACAAACUCAGCGUCAGUAAUGGAAGCAACAACUCCCAUUCAACAAUCAGGAAACACCAAAAGGCUUCUGUUAUAUAUUAAAAUAUACUCAUGACUAUUAAAAUAACAAACGCUCACUAUGUGCUUUGUAAAAUCGCCUAGUUUACCAUACUUCGGAAAUGCUGACCUGGUCAGUCCUGAUCACUGUACAAUGGGUGUGUCUGGGACCCCGGAGAUGGUAGUAUAGGGCAGGGUUAAUGCCUUCAGAUUUAAGCAGAUUUGCAUUCAGACUUCAGCUCUCCCAGCACGUGGCAAACGCUGUGUGUUAGCCAUUACUAUUAUUAGGUACUGUAAAAUAAAAUUAUUGCACACUGGAAAAUGUAAAAUAAAAAGUGAACUUAUUCCUCAUGGUUAAAAAACAAGUUGCAUAUGACAUACACUUAAUUAGGCAUCAAAGACCUCCAGAAAGAUUCUGGAGCACUGAGUUUGGGGCGCUCUGUUACUUAGCAUUGUUGGGCAAUAGCUGACUGACACAGAUGUGAUCAUGGUAUAGUAGUUUGCUUUAAAACAAGCCCCCACCUUUUAGAGAUACAUACUAAAAUGUUUACAAAUGAAAAAAAUUAAGACAUUUUAAGAGAAAAAUUGUACUCUAUUGCCAGACCAUACAUCAGACAAGUGUUCUACCUGGAGUUUACUCGAGCUUCGUGCCCCUGAGUGCCUGUCUCCUCUCCUGCAGUGGUUCCAGGGGUCUGGAGUCCUGGGGUGUCAAAGCUGGCAUUGCGGGGGCAGGGCGGGGUGCUUUGGACUAUGCUGUCCAUGUCCUCAUUUGGGGAGUCCAUGGACGAUGGAGGUAAAGUCACUGCGAGCUGAGGCUCCACCCAGGACUCCUGAUGCGCCCGCUUUCCGUUCCUCCACACUGGUAAGAGCAGGAGGCCACAGCUGGCUCUGGGCAUCUCCCCCACUCCCAGGCUCCAUCUCUGACUCAGAAUUGCCAAUGAACGCAAGGAAAUAUUUUCCACUUUUCAGCCUCUGUCUGUGCAAAAAUCCCAUUAAGCAGCCUGUCCAGA